GCGUCGGUGUUAUAACGGUUAGCAUAGGUGCCUUCCAAGCAGUUGACCCGGGUUCGACUCCCGGCCGACGCA
rnacentral:tRNA from 1 species